AACGAACGCUAGCGGCAGGCCUAACACAUGCAAGUCGAACGGACAUUGAAGUGGGUUCGCCAAUGGAGAUGUUAGUGGCAGACGGGUGAGGAAUACAUAGGAAUCUACCUAGUAGUAUGGAAUAGUCACUGGAAACGGUGAGUAAUACCACAUACGCCCUGCGGGGGAAAGAGUUAUCGCUAUUAGAUGAGCCUAUGCUGGAUUAGGUAGUUGGUGGGGUAAAUGCCUACCAAGGCGACGAGCCAUAGCUGGCCUGAGAGGGUGACCAGCCACACUGGGACUGAGAUACGGUCCAGACUCCUACGGGAGGCAGCAGUGGGGAAUAUUGGGCAAUGGGCGCAAGCCUGACCCAGCCAUGCCGCAUGAGUGAAGAAGGCCUUCGGGUUGUAAAGCUCUUUCAGCGGGGAAGAUUAUGACGGUACCCGCAGAAGAAGUCCUGGCUAACUCCGUGCCAGCAGCCGCGGUAA
rnacentral:rRNA from 1 species